CUGUUAAUGCUAAUUGUGAUAGGUGUUUUAUUCUGAUCAACUCCUACAUGUUAGCAUUAAUAG
rnacentral:pre_miRNA from 1 species